rnacentral:lncRNA from 1 species
CUAAAUAAAAAAAAUAAAGACCAAUACUUCAGUAUUCCUGAAUGGCAGAAGUGAUUGAAUACUUUAGAAAAUAAGAGGAGAAAGCUUUUAUUGGAUGGAGAUUGUCAAGACAGACUCCAAAGCAACAGUGGGUAGAAUCAGAAAAAAAAAAAAAAACCUAGAAGCUCACUGUAGGCAUUAGGUACAAAUUUGUCAAAUGAAUGAAUGACUUGACUUGACCUAUUGACAAUGAGAAAACCAGAUUGAUUAGAAGACAGUUCUACAGGAAACUAGUGAGAGAUAAUAUUAUAGUUCAGAUUUUGAUGGGACUUGUUAAAGUUUGAGUUUUGUUUUUUAUAAGGGGUAAAAGAAUUGAGAAAGACUUGGAAAUGAGACUUCAAGCUAUUCACAAGGUUUUAGGUCAGUGGUUUUCCAAAGGUGACUCCAUGUAAAGUUUGAUGACAAGCCUGGCAUAACUAUUGUCUGAUACUUACAUUUCGUUUUUAUUGGUUUUAUUAAAACAGCAUCAUUGAUC